rnacentral:rRNA from 1 species
CCUACGGGAGGCAGCAGUCGAGAAUCAUUCACAAUGGGGGAAACCCUGAUGGUGCGACGCCGCGUGGGGGAAUGAAGGUCUUCGGAUUGUAAACCCCUGUCAUGUGGGAGCAAAUUAAAAAGAUAGUACCACAAGAGGAAGAGACGGCUAACUCUGUGCCAGCAGCCGCGGUAAUACAGAGGUCUCAAGCGUUGUUCGGAAUCACUGUGCUUAAAGCGUGCGGAGGCUGUUUCGUAAGGCGUGUGUGAAAGGCGCGGGCUCAACCCGCGGACGGCACAUGAUACUGCGAGACUAGAGUAAUGGAGGAGGAACCGGAAUUCUCGGUGUAGCAGUGAAAUGCGUAGAUAUCGAGAGGAACACUCGUGGCGAAGGCGGGUUCCCGGACAUUAACUGACGCUGAGGCACGAAGGCCAGGGGAGCGAAAGGGAUUAGAUACCCCAGUAGUC